GGUACGGAGAUCGGACAAACGUCAACGCGUUGGCGCCGAAAAAGAAUGUCAUUGUUAGAAAAUUAAUCGAAACUGCGACACGUUUUUUCUUGACCUGGCAGUUAGUUAGUUUGUAGUGAAUAGUUUUAAAGAAAACAUAGGUGGAAGCUAUUUGGCCAGUUGCGCGUGAUUUGAGUGCUCGCGGGUUUGUGAGUCGGAAGAGUUUGAGUGACCGUUCGGUUGUUCCGGUUAGGUGUACCGGGUUGAGCUCAAUUAGAGCGGUAGGAAAGAAAAAGU